CACUGCUGGCAACAACAAUGGCAUGAUGCAACACCCUGGCUACCGGCAGGUGUGGUCGGUAAUGGAUGGGACUGAAUUUGGAGCCAUCUCAAAGUGAUGACAGACCAUAUGGCCAAUUCCUCUGCCCAAAUAACGUGUGCAUAUGGAAACAGGAAUACAAAGGCAACACGGGACUGUAGAAGCUCAGCCACGAGGGAAAGCAAGCCUUUGGAAAAUCAACUAUGCUGUGAAGACUUUCUCCCUGAGCCUUGCCUUCUUAUCUGGAAUGUUUCAGCCUUGGGAAAAUUGCUUAAAAAGAGCUCUGCUUUCUCUCCCCAGGACUGAUGGUGUACAGAUUGGAUCAUGUAUGGAAUGGAUUCUUAUUUUCCAUAUGCAGAAGCCUAUAUUUUUAAGUAAUUUGCGAGCCGGAUUCCUCAGGAGACGACCAGGUUGCUGGCUUAGUAGAAAAACCCCCCUGAAUUCAGGACCUGAAUUCAGUAAGACCAGAUUCUAG
rnacentral:lncRNA from 1 species